rnacentral:rRNA from 1 species
UACGUAGGUGGCAAGCGUUGUCCGGAAUUACUGGGCGUAAAGGGUGUGUAGGCGGAUAUUUAAGUAGAAAGUGAAAGGUUGGAGCUCAACUCCAACAUUGCUUCCUAUACUGGAUGUCUUGAGUUUCGGAGAGGAAGAUGGAACGACACGUGUAGCGGUGAAAUGCGCUGAUAUGUGUCGGAACACCAAUAGCGAAGGCAAUCUUCUGGACGAAUACUGACGCUGAGACACGAAAGCAUGGGUAGCGAACAGG